AGCGAACGCUGGCGGCAGGCCUAACACAUGCAAGUCGAACGAUCCCUUCGGGGAUAGUGGCGGACGGGUGAGUAACACGUGGGAACGUGCCUUUAGGUUCGGAACAACACAGGGAAACUUGUGCUAAUACCGGAUGUGCCCUUCGGGGGAAAGAUUUAUCGCCUUUAGAGCGGCCCGCGUCUGAUUAGCUAGUUGGUGAGGUAAAGGCUCACCAAGGCUACGAUCAGUAGCUGGUCUGAGAGGAUGAUCAGCCACACUGGGACUGAGACACGGCCCA
rnacentral:rRNA from 1 species